AUAUCAGACCCAAAGCGGGUGAUCCCAUUUCAGGAUUCAUGAAAUUGAAACAGGGCAUUGUAUUAUCUUAAUUCCUCAUUUAGUCCCCCUAGCCUCCACUUAAUUCUUGUAGAAUUCUUUCUAAAUUUUCAGUAGUUUAGAUAAUUUUACCCACUUAAUUCUAUUAUACAUAAUACGUACCCAGCAACACUAAAUAAAAAAAAAGAGAAAUGCUAUAUGCCACGAAGCCACUAUUGCAUACAACGCACGACCAAUGAGAAUGACUUCUAGUGGAAAUCAUGGGGAGUAAAUGGUAAAAUAAUAAGAGUAGGCAAAAUCCACCCUGUUAUCUAAUAAUUUUGAGAGUGAGGUACUCAAACCACACACACUCUAUCAGGAAGUUCCACGUCAGCUUUUUAAUAACAAAAACCCCUUCUCUCUUUUAUUUCCUGAAGACGUGUUUAUCACGCGCUAAGGCUGCUCUUGGUUUUCCUCUGAUUCAAUUUCACUCUCCCGAAUCAAAUCCCUAAAUCACUCCUCUGUAGUUCCAAGCUCUAUCCUCGGUCCAUGUGUUUCUGUAUGUUUCAGGAUUUCAAUGUUUCUGAUAAGUCUGGUGAGAUUUACGGAGGGUGCUAUUACAAGGGGACACAUGGAGUUGUUGUUAUUGAUAGAGAUUUAUAUCCCAUUCCAAUUGAUACUAUGAAAAUAGAGGUGAGUAAUAUGUUAGGUGAGUAAUAGCUUGUGCUAAUUGAGCUUCAUGAGAUCAAUGAGAUUAGACUGCAAAAAUAAUUAAAGUCAAGAUCUGAAUGCAAGUUAUGAUGUAGAUAUGGGGAUUGAGGUUUGAAUGGACCAUUAUACUCAACAAGAUCAGGGAGCAGAACAAUGAGACUGUUAAGGGCCUCGAAUUCAUGAUGGAGGAUUGGAUCAAACAUUUUGAGGACCUAGCUGGCUCUCAGGAAAUUAAUGCUAUCUCUCAAUAUGCAAAUGAAUUAGCUAUCUCUCGUGGAUGGAAUGGAUGGAAUAGAGGACACGGCUCUUGCUCUUAAGACGAUUCUUUUAGGUGGCAGUGUUACACAAGAGGUCUAAAGAAGAUUGAUAGUUUCAACCAAUGAAUGGGUUAAGAACUUGGAGAUGUGGAAGAAUUGAAUAAGCAAUCUACCUUUGAUGCUUAUUGGGAUACGGUUGAAAGCGAAAAUGUGGUUGACAGUUCAACUAUUUCUUCCAUUGAUCAGGAUUUUAGCAUAGUUGAUUUGUCCUCAAGCUGGAAUUUGAAGGCUCAAAAUUAAAGGGAUUUUUUUUUAUAUUGUGCUUGGUAUCAGUUUUGAUUAUAUAUAUGGUUCCUGAUUUGUUGUAUUGCCUUUUUUUCUGUUUAUUUGUUAGCUCAAGUCUGAUUAUAUACUUCUUCAUUU